CCUACGGGUGGCUGCAGUGGGGAAUAUUGGACAAUGGGGGCAACCCUGAUCCAGCCAUGCCGCGUGUGUGAAGAAGGCCCUCGGGUUGUAAAGCACUUUCAGUGAGGAAGAACGCCUGGUGGUUAAUACCCAUCAGGAAAGACAUCACUCACAGAAGAAGCACCGGCUAACUCCGUGCCAGCAGCCGCGGUAAUACGGAGGGGGCGAGCGUUAAUCGGAAUUACUGGGCGUAAAGCGCGCGUAGGUGGCUUGAUAAGCCGGUUGUGAAAGCCCCGGGCUCAACCUGGGAACGGCAUCCGGAACUGUCAAGCUAGAGUGCAGGAGAGGAAGGUAGAAUUCCCGGUGUAGCGGUGAAAUGCGUAGAGAUCGGGAGGAAUACCAGUGGCGAAGGCGGCCUUCUGGACUGACACUGACACUGAGGUGCGAAAGCGUGGGUAGCAAACAGGCUUAGAUACCCCUGUAGUC
rnacentral:rRNA from 1 species